UUCCAAUUUACUUAUUACAACUUAAAAUGAGAAUCGUCUGAUUAAAAUCCGGCAACUCAAAAUGCUUGACUGCGUAAAUGUAAGAUUUUUGAGGCAGCAGAGAAUCCAAAUCUGUAUAAGCACAACGGGAAUAGAUGCUCUUUUAUGAUAAAAUAUAACAUUUAUUAGCUUGCACUGAUGUAUAAUAGUAAUUUUUAGGGACUAGCUAAUAUGAUUUCAAUUUUCAACAUUAAAUAGUAGAAGCUUAAACCUUUCUCUGUGUUUCUCUAGUACUUUGACAUCACAGUUGUGUAUUUUCAUGCUGCAUAAUUUGCGAGAGAAGAUAUUUUUCUUCUUUCAUUUUUUUCUAGCCUGCCCAACACUUAAUGUGUUAUUGGUAAGAACAUGAAAGUUCCAGCAAAGAAUAAAAUUUGAGCUAAAUCUUCAUUCUCAUGGCUGUUACAGGAAUGGAUGAUCCAAAUAAUCCAUUUAUCUCCAUUAAGGAUGCUCUAAAGGAUGAGAAACGGAUUAGAUAUUACAAUGGCUACUUAUCUUCCUUCUGGCUUCUAUCAAAGAUGGUUGCAAUGUGAAAGGAUAUUUUGCAUGGUCACUACUAGAUAACUGGGAGUGGUCUGCUGGAUACACUUGUAGAUUUGGUCUGUACUUUGUUGAUUACAAAGACAACCAGAAGAGAUACCCCAAACAAUCUGUGGAAUGGUUCAAGAAUUUCUUGAAACCAACAAAAUAGUUGUAAAAAUACAUGAUUGUAUUUGGAACUACAGAAUUAUAUCGAUUUCAGUUUCAAAUUUAUUAGAUUUAGAAUUUUAUGUUUGAAACUUAUUGUAACAAUAACAAUAAUAGUGGAAUUAAUUUUUAUAUAGAUCACAUUCUCUUCUCA